AGUGAACGCUGGCGGUAGGCCUAACACAUGCAAGUCGAACGGCAGCACAGUAAGAGCUUGCUCUUACGGGUGGCGAGUGGCGGACGGGUGAGGAAUACAUCGGAAUCUACUUUUUCGUGGGGGAUAACGUAGGGAAACUUACGCUAAUACCGCAUACGACCUACGGGCGAAAGCAGGGGAUCUUCGGACCUUGCGCGAUUGAAUGAGCCGAUGUCGGAUUAGCUAGUUGGCGGGGUAAAGGCCCACCAAGGCGACGAUCCGUAGCUGGUCUGAGAGGAUGAUCAGCCACACUGGAACUGAGACACGGUCCAGACUCCUACGGGAGGCAGCAGUGGGGAAUAUUGGACAAUGGGCGUAAGCCUGAUCCAGCCAUACCGCGUGGGUGAAGAAGGCCUUCGGGUUGUAAAGCCCUUUUGUUGGGAAAGAAAAGCAGCAGGUUAAUACCCCGCUGUUCUGACGGUACCCAAAGAAUAAGCACCGGCUAACUUCGUG
rnacentral:rRNA from 1 species